AGUCUUCGGAUUUAGAGACCGGCGCACGGGUGCGUAACGCGUAUGCAAUCUACCUUUUACAGAGGGAUAGCCCAGAGAAAUUUGGAUUAAUACCUCAUAGUAUUAUGAAAUGGCAUCAUUUUAUAAUUAAAGUCACAACGGUAAAAGAUGAGCAUGCGUCCCAUUAGCUAGUUGGUAAGGUAACGGCUUACCAAGGCUACGAUGGGUAGGGGUCCUGAGAGGGAGAUCCCCCACACUGGUACUGAGACACGGACCAGACUCCUACGGGAGGCAGCAGUGAGGAAUAUUGGACAAUGGGCGCAAGCCUGAUCCAGCCAUGCCGCGUGCAGGAUGACGGUCCUAUGGAUUGUAAACUGCUUUUAUACGAGAAGAAACACUGCUUCGUGAAGCAGCUUGACGGUAUCGUAAGAAUAAGGAUCGGCUAACUCCGUGCCAGCAGCCGCGGUAAUACGGAGGAUCCAAGCGUUAUCCGGAAUCAUUGGGUUUAAAGGGUCCGUAGGCGGUUUGGUAAGUCAGUGGUGAAAGCCCAUCGCUCAACGGUGGAACGGCCAUUGAUACUGCCAGACUUGAAUUAUUAGGAAGUAACUAGAAUAUGUAGUGUAGCGGUGAAAUGCUUAGAGAUUACAUGGAAUACUAAUUGCGAAGGCAGGUUACUACUAAUGGAUUGACGCUGAUGGACGAAAGCGUGGGUAGCGAACAGGAUUAGAUACCCUGGUAGUCCACCCCGUAAACGAUGGA
rnacentral:rRNA from 1 species